rnacentral:misc_RNA from 1 species
AACGCACCUUGCGCCUCUUGGUAUUCCGAGAGGCAUGCCUGUUUGAGUGUCAUGAAACCUCAAUCCCCUAUGGUUUUCUGAACCGUCGGUGGACUUGGAAAUGGGCGUCUGCCUCACAAGGCUCGCCUCAAAUGACUUAGUGGGAACUUCUUGACCUACGCCUGACGUGAUAAGUUUCGUCUCGGCCGGUCCUGAGGCCCGCUCACAACCAACCACAUCUUUUUGACAUUGACCUCAAAUCAGGUAGGGCUACCCGCUGAACUUAA